rnacentral:lncRNA from 1 species
CUUUCGUACAUGUAGUUCCACCUAGUCGGGCAAGGUUUAGGAACCUUUCUUUCUCUAAGGCCAUAUUCGUCACACUUUUUAAAAUAUUCUCUAAGUCUCUUUCUACGGUUUGAAUAAAAACCCCAAUUAAGAGCCAUUUAAACAUUUUCAAUUUCUAAGUUUAAUAUUCUCAUACCAUCACCAACAAUUAAAUGAUAAAUAUGACAUAUACAUCUAACAUGGAAAAUAUUAGUAAAAGCAGGAU